UGGGGAAUUUUGGACAAUGGGCGAAAGCCUGAUCCAGCAAUGCCGCGUGUGCGAAGAAGGCCUUCGGGUUGUAAAGCACUUUUGUCCGGAAAGAAAUCCGCCUGGCCAAUACCCGGGCGUGAUGACGGUACCGGAAGAAUAAGCACCGGCUAACUACGUGCCAGCAGCCGCGGUAAUACGUAGGGUGCGAGCGUUAAUCGGAAUUACUGGGCGUAAAGCGUGCGCAGGCAGCUUUGUAAGACAGAUGUGAAAUCCCUGGGCUCAACCUGGGAACUGCAUUUGUGACUGCAAGGCUAGAGUGCGUCAGAGGGAGGUGGAAUUCCGCGUGUAGCAGGGAAAUGCGUAGAGAUGCGGAGGAACACCGAUGGCGAAGGCAGCCUCCUGGGAUGACACUGACGCUCAUGCACGAAAGCGUGGGGAGCAAACA
rnacentral:rRNA from 1 species